rnacentral:rRNA from 1 species
AGGGGGUAGCAAUACCCUAGUAAAGCGGCGCACGGGUGAGUAACACGUGGAUAACCUGCCUCGAAGUGGGGAAUAACCCCGGGAAACCGGAGCUAAUACCGCAUAUUCUGACGAGAUCUGCGGAUUUUGUCAGGAAAGGAGCAAUUCGCUUUGAGAGGGGUCCGCGGCUGAUUAGCUAGUUGGUGAGGUAAUGGCUCACCAAGGCCACGAUCAGUAGCCGGUCUGAGAGGACGGUCGGCCACACUGGAACUGAGACACGGUCCAGACUCCUACGGGAGGCAGCAGUGGGGAAUUUUUCGCAAUGGGGGCAACCCUGACGAAGCAACGCCGCGUGGGUGAUGAAGUAUUUCGGUACGUAAAACCCUUUCGACGGGGACGAAACCGCAAGGUUGACAGUACCCGUAGAAGAAGCCCCGGCUAACUCCGUGCCAGCAGCCGCGGUAAUACGGGGGGGGCAAGCGUUGUUCGGAAUUACUGGGCGUAAAGGGCGCGUAGGCGGUUCGCUAAGUUGGAUGUGAAAACUCUGGGCUUAACCCAGAGCCUGCAUCCAAAACUGGCGAACUGGAGUACUGGAGGGGAGAGCGGAAUUCCUGGUGUAGCGGUGAAAUGCGUAGAUAUCAGGAGGAACACCGGUGGCGAAGGCGGCUUUCUGGACAGUAACUGACGCUGAGGCGCGAAAGCUAGGGGAGCAAACAGGAUUAGAUACCCUGGUAGUCCUAGCCCUAAACUAUGGAUACUUGGUGUGAGGGGGGAUUGAAUCCCUUCGUGCCGUAGCUAACGCAAUAAGUAUCCCGCCUGGGGAGUACGGUCGCAAGGCUGAAACUC